rnacentral:lncRNA from 1 species
GGCGGCGAGGGAGGGGUAAUGACGUAUGGAACUGAGGAAUGGGUGAUGACGGCGCCAGUGAGGGAAAUGACUGCGGAAGGGGUGAUGGUACUACAACAAGAGAAGGGUGACAGCGGCGCGUGCUUGUAGUAGUCGUUAGGUGUUCUAUCUGCGUGCUUGUAGUAGUUGUUAGGUGCUCUAUCUACGGUUGUAGGUGUAAUUUUAUUUAUAGUGUCCUUCAUACUAGGUUGAGUUGAUGAGCAGCAGUUUAUUAGUAGUUGUUAGGUGCUCCAUCUACGGUUGUAGAUGUAAUUUUAUUUAUAGCGUCCUUCAUACUAGGUUGAGUUGAUGAGCAGCAGUUUAUUUUGAAGGUCCCUCCUAUUUUUUUAAUAAUAAAGUAUGGAUUGACUUUGUGAAUUCAUCGUUACAAUAAGUUUUCUUCUUCAUGUCACGUUCUUUUUGUCUGGUUUUUUUUCUUGAUUUUGAUAUUUUUCUUAAUAUCCGAGGCCCAGAGAGUUAGCACGAAAAUAAAAUUGUCAAUGAGAGGUUUCGAUUCUGUGACCUGCCAAUUGGUCACACACAAUCUUUUUAAUUGACUCAACUCACAGAUAUGAUGAAACCUAGCGGCGCAUUGUGGCCUAGACCUGGAGAGCUAGCAAAAAAAAUAAAAUUGCCGAUGAGCGCACUGUGGCCUAGGCCUGGAGAGCUAGCAAAAAAAUAAAAUUGCCGAUGAAAGAAUUUAAUCCCAUGACCUGCCAACCGGUCACGUCCAACCGGCCCAGCUAACAAUUGUGAUGGAAAGAAAAGUUUUAUUACAAUUAUUUAAAAAAAACAUGUGUUCAAAAAUUGAAGUUUAGAAAAAUGUUACAACUUAAUAACAAAACUUCAAAUUAUAAAAAGUUUCUUUUUUUUUAAAGUGGAGAAAUAUUCAUGUUUUCCCAAAAGUAAAAAAUAAUCGAAGCAACAAUCGAAGUCACCUUGUCGAUUUUCACUAUUGACUCAGAGAAACUUAAUUUGGGUGAUGUUAAUGUUCCCUUUUGGGUGAGUUUGGAUGAGUCACGGCGGUCUAGACUUAGCAUAACGACUUCUCGACGUUCCCCGACGUUCUCCUACGUUCCCCUGCAAUAAAGAACGGGUGAUGACGGUGCUGGCAAGGGAGGGGUAAUGACGGUGGGAAGGUUGAUGAUACUACAACAAGGAACAAUAAAGGGGUAAUAAUGGCGGGAAUGAUAAUGAUGACAACGUGUACUUGUAGUAGCCCUUAGGUGCUAUGGAUGGCUAUGGAUGUAGAUGUAAAUUUUAUUUAUAGAUGUAAAUUUUAUUUAUAGUGUUCUUUGUACUACCUUGAUAAAAUCAGCUUUUUUUAAAGGAUGUUUCCGGUUGAUAUUGACAGACCGAAAGUUUUCAAUUAUUCAAUUCUGAACCCUGCUCAUCUAAAAACAGUGAGCAGCAAAUUAAAUAAUAAUACGAACAAAUUUUAAAAAAUACCAAUUUUUUAUGAAGAAAGAUGACUGAGUGCGUGAGGUGGGUGCUUUGAACUUUUGAGUAGUUCUCAGAAGAAGAAAAAAAUCAGGUUCACACAAUAAACUUUUCACAGACCUUAAAUUUAUCCUUUUGCCGAGACCUAUCCUGACAUCCAAUUGCUCUGAAAUUUGACACGAACGUUGCACACUUCGUCAUCUUUCUCCAAAAGACAUUUAGAAUUUUUUGAAUUCUUUUAGCAUUUUUAGCAAUUUUUUAAAUCACUCUUGAGCUCAUUUGAGCCUGCAAGCCAAAACGCCUCACUCAAAAGUGUUCUAAAAAAAUAGUGCUCCUUUCGAGUGAGUAAUGUUUAUAUGUACCACAACUUUUUCAUAUAUUCAUAGGUCCUUAUAUUUAUUCUUUGAGGGUAUGCCUACUGGUAUUUCAGCUCACAAUAUCAUCUGGAAGAUUCAGGGCUCCUCGGAACGGCUGAUUGCUCGCGAGGUCUAUGACAUAACCAGCUCUGUUUUCGUUAGCCAUGGAAGAUAUUAAUCAUCCACUUAUGCGUAGAGCAUUUUUAGCAGCCCUGGAGCAUCUUCAGUCGGACUCUACUAAUUAAUGAAAAAGUUAACUUAACUAGCUCUCUCAAAACCUUUCUAAAUGCCUACACUGUCCGACACUUUUCAUAUUACCCUCAUGUGUAAAAUUUAUAUGUGUGGGUUUUUGUCUACUAUGAACCAUCUCUUUCUUUUUGUUUAUUCUCUCUGUCUCCACCAAUUACAUGCAUGCGACUGGCCAUAGUAGACGUUUGAGGGCCAUCGUUGACAUUUUUUAACUAAACCAUCAUGGACAUUUGAGGGACCGGAUUAGGUGCAGGCGGGUUAUGAAAGAUAUUGAUCAGUAUGCAAUGUUACUCCGGUCGUCAAGAACACCUUAGAGGGAUGGCGGGCUCUGGCAAGGGCUUCCUCCCGAGAGAAACCAGAGAAGAAUCAGCUAAAACAACCUGGUCAUCUUAAUUGUGUGGUUUCUGGAAGGAGUGUAGCAAUAGUUUUGAACAGAAAUUGCAUCGACGACUGAUUUUAUUAUUGAUCGAAUUAAACGUGAGGCUCGUAAUUGAUGCAUAUCAGGUGAUAGAUGUUUUGACGCCCUUCACCGAGUGUCUAUAUAUUAUGGCAGACUUUUCUUACAGCCUGGUCAUCUUGGUUGCAUGGUUGAUUUCGAAGUAGCCUAACAAUGGAGUUUUGAACAGAAGUUGCUUUGAUUAAUCUUAUUCUUUAUCAAGCCAAAUGUGAGGCAGACGAUGUCUGGCGUCGUGGUUGCGUCGAUGGUAGAGAGACCUGGCACGGUAGAUGCAACAAUACAGCUCUGAAGAUGGACUCGUGGCAGGUGGCUGCGACAGCCUCAUACCCGGGAGGCGUCCUGGUUGAGGAGUGCGCCGGACUGGUAGGAGCCCCAUACCAGGCAGGGGUCCUGGUUGGGACCUCAGGUAUUAGAUGUUUAGGUUUGGCUGUGAUGUCUGUUUGGUAUUAUGCCCAGGCUAUCAGCGCCCCUUUAUCAAUUGGAUAGGUGUAGCGACAAUUGUUGCUUAGACGGUGGCUUUAGUCUUGUUGUUGUAUGACUUUGUACGGUCGUGUGAGAAUAAUUAAUAAAGUGGCCGCACGCAUUGCCCAGAUGCAGAGGUCGGGUGCCAUCCUUCUUUUCUAAAAAAACAAAUGUGAGGCUUAUAAGGCCUUGUACAAUGGGAGGUGCUUAGAGAGAUGCUUAGAAAAAUAAACCGGAUUUUUCUGAAGCACCGGUGCCUAUUUCUACAGGAUAGACGUCUAUCCUGCACAAAUAAGCACCGGUGCUUAAGAAAAGUCUGAUUUAUUUCUCUAAGCACUUCCCAUUGUACAAGACCUAAUUGGUUCAAACUUGCAUCUAGAUGUUUUGAACCGUCUUCACCUAUGGUCCAUGUAUUGUGGUAGACUUUUCUGUUUGUUGGUCGUGUUUUGGAGUCUGUUUAUGGAUUGUUCUUGUAACCUUAAGACUUUGUAUUUCCUACUUUUUUAGAUUGCUCACAUGCAGUUCUUUUGCAUGGUUCGGACAAAUAUACUCCCUCCGUUUUUAAAUAUAUGACGUGCGCUUGCUGUAACGACAAGCUGCUAAUUUAUUUAGGACCGUCGCAUGCAUCAUGUUCGUUCUUGGCUUCAGUAAUUUACUGGAUUUUCCUCCAUCUGUUAGUUUUUUAGACCGUUGACUUUGGCAUUGUUGACUGGGAUAAGCUUUUUUUCGUGUCAAAAGAAACAGAGAGCCCAUUCGAUCAUUCACGAGACUUCAUGAGCACACUGCACAAGUACUACACUCACACGUACCCUGUCAGCGACGCCCAGGAGACGGCCCCUAACAAGAUCACCUCAAGCGACACCGAGCCACCACAGGAGGUCGAGCCCAACAGGCCCAGGCGCGAGCGGAAGCCCAACAGCAAAUUCAUCGGGCCCGCGUGGGCAAGUGGCCCACGGAAGUGAAGACCUACCUGCAUAUAAUCCCCUCCUCCCCCGCGAGCUAGGGUAUCCAGAGGAUCAAGUACUUGGCGGCGGCGGCGGCUCUCAACUACCUUCCUCCUCCUUUCCUUAGAUCUAGCUCGAUGAGCAUGUAAUCAAACCGAAUUCCUGUGAUUUGAGAGUGAGGACACUAGUAGUUCCUAUCAAUUGGUAUCUAGAGCCAUUUUUCUUCCCCUUCCACCGCAAAUCUGGCCUCUACCUUCCGAUCUAUCAUCGAGACGAGGAAGGAGAAGCAGCGGCGACUCGCCAUGGAUGACGAGGCCAAAAAGUUCAUGAGGGAGCUCUUGGGCGAGUUCUCUGGCGACAUCAAGGAGUCAAUCCGCGACCUGAGCUCCAAGGUGGAGGCCAUCCAGGAGUGGAGGCCGGAGCUAGAGGCCCGUGUCUCCGCUCUGCAGGAGGCGGUUGGGGCGCUCCAGCAAGCCGCACCCGGCUACCAGCCCCACGUCGUCAUCGACAUCCCCGAGGCAGCUGGCAAGGCGGUGGACAAGAACAAGGCCACCGUUCCUACCACACCAAUCGCACCAUGGAGGCCCUCCUCCAGGCCCGAUGGCCACGGCGAGCAUCCGCAACCCCGGGGGCAGUUCUCAGGAACUACCCCGGGCACAGGUCAGUCGCAGUGCCCGCCCGCUCCUCACCUGCCGGCUCCCGCCCCCUCCUCUCCGUUUCCGUUCACUAGUCCGCUGUCGGCUGCGGGAUACGCAUCUGCUUCCGCGGGUGGGGGAAACAACCACGCGUUUCCAGCCAUGGCGUUUCCACAAUUCGAUGGGGAAAACCCACGGUUGUGGAAAGGGAUGUGCGAGCAAUACUUUGCCAUGUACGGGGUUGACCAAUCCUUUUGGUUGCCCAUGGCUACGCUGAACUUCUCCACGACCACGGCCAUUUGGCUGCAGUCAGUUCAGCGCAAGGUCGUCGGCCUUAACUGGGAGGGGUUCUGCGAGUUUCUUUGCAGCAAGUUCAGGCGUGACCAACACCAGCAACUGAUUAGGCAAUUUUACCACACUAGGAAAACUGGCUCCGUGGCGGAGUAUAUCGAGCAAUUUGAUGCUUUAAUGAACCAUCUACUAUCUUACUCUGAAGCUAUUCACCCCCUGUAUUUUUUGACGAGGUUUGUGGAGGGUCUGCAUGAUGACAUUCGGGCGGUCGUGCUGAUCCAGCGACCCGUCGACCUGGAGGCGGCCGGCUCCCUGGCCCUUCUGCAAGAGGAGCUUGCGGAGGGCUUCCUGCGGGAUCGCCCGCGCCGCUCUGACGCGCCGACAACCAGGGCCGCCAUCCGAACGGCCCCCCUGCCGCUGCCGGCCGCUCCUCCUCGGGGUGGUGGGGUAGCUGGUGCGGAGGACCGGCGCACUCUGGAGGCAGCGCGGCCCGGACAAGACGCAGACAAGGUUGCUGCCCUACGCGCCUACCGGCGCGCUAAGGGACUCUGCUUCACCUGUGGCGAACGCUGGGGGCGCGACCACCGCUGCCCAGCCAAUGUUCCCCUCCAUGUCAUUGAGGAAUUACUUUAGAUGCUGGAAACAGAAGACAGGUGCACCCUGCCAAUCGAGGAACAACAAGAAGAUGCCAACUGCGCAGCCAUUUCGUGCCACGCUUUGGAGGGCACGGCAUCCCCAAAGGCUCUGCAACUCCAAGGGUGGAUAGGCGACACCAAGGUGCUCCUGCUCGUUCACUCGGGCAGCUCGUCUUCCUUCAUCAGGCACGACUUGGUCAGAGGAGAACUCCGGGCGGUCCCUCUAGCGCGCCGUCUCAGGGUGCGCGUAGCCGAUGGGGGAGAGCUAGCUUGUACUCAGGAAGUACCGGACUGCCAAUGGUGGAGCCACGGACAGGAAUUUCGCUGCAAUCUGAAGGUGCUUCCAUUGCACAGCUAUGAUAUUAUCCUCGGGAUGGAUUGGUUAGAAAGCCACAGCCCAAUGCAAGUUGACUGGGAGAAGAAGUACAUCGAGUUCCAAUACCAUGGGGGCACGAUCCGACUGCAAGGCUUGCCCAGCAGCGACACCACAUGCUCCAUAGUGUCGGCUAUGCAACUCCAGGCGCUGUGCAAAGAGAAUGCCAGUUUGCUCGUCCUCCAGCUAUGCCAAGUGGUUCCACAACAACCUCCACCUAUGCUGCCCCAAGUUGCCGAGUUGCUCAGCUGCUACAAAGAAGUCGUUGAUGAACCAACAGGGUUACCCCCAAAACGGGCUUGCGACCACCGCAUACCCCUGCUGCCAGGUGCUCAACCGUUUGCCAUCCAUCCAUACCGCUACUCUCCAGCCCUCAAGACAGAAAUCGAGCGCCAAGUGGCUGACCUUCUGAAGAAAGGGAUCAUACAAGUCAGUCAGAGCCCUUUCUCCUCUCAUGUGGUCCUGGUGCGCAAGAAGGACUUGACUUGGCGACUGUGUGUCGAUUACAGGCGCCUCAACGCUCUGACUUGCAAGACUACUUUUCCUAUCCCAGUGAUUGACGAACUUCUGGACAAGCUCGCAGGUGCGCGCUGGUUCUCUAAAUUAGAUCUCCGCUCGGGGUACCACCAGAUCCGAUUGGCCGAAGGCGAAGCACCGAAGACAGCGUUCCAAACACACAGCGGCCACUAUGAGUACAAGGUGGUAUCCUUCGGACUCGCCUACGCACCGGCCACCUUCCAGGGAGCAAUGAACGUCACCCUGUCUCCUGUAUCCCGCAAGUGCGUGCUUGUCUUCUUUGACGACAUUUUGGUGUUCAGUAUUACCUUGGAGGAUCACUUGAGAGACUUGGAAGAGGUGCUCGGGUUGUUGAAGAAGGACCAGUGGCAGGUGAAUGAAUCCAAGUGCUUAUUUGCACAAAAGCAACUAUCUUACCUGGGCCACCGCAUCAGCGCGGAAGGGGUCGCAACCGAGGAGAGCAAAAUCGCUACAGUCUGCGACUGGCCAGUGCUCGAACCAGUGAAGGAACUCAGGGGCUUCCUGGGUCUAGCAGGUUACUAUAGGAAGUUUGUCCGUCACUUCGGGAUGAUCUGCAAACCCCUGACUCAGCUGCUGCGCAAGGGGGCACUCUUUGUUUGGAUUGAUGAGAGCCAAAAGGCAUUUACAACUCUCAAGGAAGCCGUCAUUUCGGCUCCGGUACUGGCCCUGCCCAACUUCACCAAAACAUUCGUGGUCGAAACUAACGCGUGUGAUAGAGGCAUUGGGGCGGUGCUGCAGCAGGACAACCACCUCAUCGCUUUCCUCAGCAAAGCCCUCGGGCCAAAGGCGGCAGGCCUCUCCACCUACGAGAAGGAGUGUAUGGCAAUUCUGCACGUGGUUGACCAAUGGCGCCACUACUUGCAGAUGGCUGAAUUUGUGAUCAAAAUAGACCAAAAAAGUUUGGUGCACCUAGAAGAGCAACGCUUGUCGACGGUCUAGCAACACAAGGCAUUCACCAAAUUGCUAGGCCUGCAAUACAGAAUCUGCUACAAAAAGGGAGAGGAUAACAAGGCAUCUGAUGCCCUGUCUCGUCGCCACCACGACCCGCAGGAGGCCGCACUUGCCAUCACUGAAUGCAAGCCUGCUUGGUUGACAGAGGUGCAACAAGGGUACGCCGAGGACGCCCAAUGCUAGAAACUUCUCGCUAGCCUAGCCACGACACCGCAACAAGGAGCUUUCACCUUGCAACAGGGGGUACUACGCUACAAGGGCAGACUGUGGCUGGGGCAAAACCGUGCGCUGCAAGCCAAGGUUACUUCAGCCUUGCAUGAUGCAGCAGCAGGGGGGCACUCGGGCUUCCCGGUCACCUUGGCGCGCGUCAAGCAGCACUUUGCCUGGCCGGGGAUGCGCCGCACCAUCAGGGAGUUCGUCCGCACCUGCUCCACGUGCCAGCAAGCUAAACCUGACAUGUCUCGCUACCCAGGGCUCCUGCAACCCCUACCAAUACCAAAUCAGCCGUGGGAGAUGGUAACUAUGGAUUUCAUCGACGGUCUGCCCCCGUCUGGCCGGCACAACUGCAUCAUGGUGGUCGUGGAUAAACUAACCAAGUAUGCCCAUUUUGUGCCGCUCGUGCACCCUUUCACUACCCAGACAGUAGCCCAACAGUUCAUGGAUCACAUCUACAAGCACCACGGUAUGCCCAGGUACAUUGUCUCCGACCGUGACCCGCUCUUUACCAGUCGCUUCUGGCAGCACCUUUUCAAACUCACCAGUACGGAGCUCCUCAUGAGCACGGCGCGCCACCCUCAAACUGACGGGCAAACGGAACGUGUCAACCAGUGCCUGGAAACAUUCUUGCGCUGCUACUCGCAGGCGUCCCUUCAGCAGUGGUCCAAGUGGUUGUCACUCGCAGAGUUCUGGUAUAACACGAGCACGCACUCAAGCCCGGGCAAGUCACCGUUCGCGGUGCUCUAUGGGAGAGAGCCUCGCGCCCUGGGGUUAGCCAUCGCAGAUGACUGCCAACCACUCGACGUCCGAGCAUGGCUCGAGGAGCGGCAACUGAUGCUGGCUUUGGCGAAGCAGCACUUGCACAGAGCACAACAUCGGAUGAAAGAACAAGCAGACAAGAAGCGUUCCGACCGCUCCUUCCAACCGGGAGACCAAGUGUACCUGAAACUGCAACCUUAUGUGCAAACCUCCGUUGCUCGGCGGGCGUGCCACAAGCUGUCGUUCAAAUUCUUUGGCCCCUUCCAGAUUCUGUCCAAGAUUGGAGCCGUGGCUUACCGCCUGCAGCUCCCAGAAGGAUCAGCAGUCCAUCCAGUCUUCCAUGUGUUGCAACUCAAGGCGGCUCACCUCCGUCCUGAAGGUUCGGUCAGCGCUCUGCCGGCUAAUGUGUCUGCGUUUCAGGUACCGCUCAAAGUGAUCGACUACAGGUGGCGCAAGGCCCCCAACAAGAUGGUUCGUCAGGGCAAGAUUCGCUGGUCUGGCACACCUGUGGAGGACACCACUUGGGAAGACCUGGAAGAUCUCCACCGGCAUUUCCGCGCGCUCCAGCUUGGGUCCCGCUGCGCAUCCUCAGCCUCCGCGACAAGAACACCGGGCGCUCGACCAUGCGCCAGGGGCUCACGCACUGGUCCUACUCUUCUGCUGACAAGGCCAAGUGGGAGAACAUCAGCCGUCUUCGACGGCGUUUCCCUGAUGCUCCGGCUUGGGGACAAGCCGUUUUUCAAGACAAGGGGAAUGUCAGCGACGCCCAGGAGACGGCCCCUGACAAGAUCACCUCAAGCGACACCGAGCCACCACAGGAGGUCGAGCCCAACAGGCCCAGGCGUGAGCGGAAGCCCAACAACAGAUUCAUCGGGCCUGCGUGGGCAAGUGGCCCACGGAAGUGAAGACCUACCUGCAUAUAAUCCCCUCCUCCCCCGCGAGCCAGGGUAUCCAGAGGAUCAAGUACUUGGCGGCGGCGGCGGCUCUCAACUACCUUCCUCCUCCUUUCCUUAGAUCUGGCUCGAUGAGCAUGUAAUCAAACCGAAUUCCUGUGAUUUGAGAGUGAGGACACUAGUAGUUCCUAUCAUACCCACCCACCAUCUAGAACAAAGGCGAGAAAUCCAGAAGACAAUUACAUUCUUUUCUGUGCUCUCUUGGNNNNNNNNNNNNNNNNNNNNNNNNNNNNNNNNNNNNNNNNNNNNNNNNNNNNNNNNNNNNNNNNNNNNNNNNNNNNNNNNNNNNNNNNNNNNNNNNNNNNNNNNNNNNNNNNNNNNNNNNNNNNNNNNNNNNNNNNNNNNNNNNNNNNNNNNNNNNNNNNNNNNNNNNNNNNNNNNNNNNNNNNNNNNNNNNNNNNNNNNNNNNNNNNNNNNNNNNNNNNNNNNNNNNNNNNNNNNNNNNNNNNNNNNNNNNNNNNNNNNNNNNNNNNNNNNNNNNNNNNNNNNNNNNNNNNNNNNNNNNNNNNNNNNNNNNNNNNNNNNNNNNNNNNNNNNNNNNNNNNNNNNNNNNNNNNNNNNNNNNNNNNNNNNNNNNNNNNNNNNNNNNNNNNNNNNNNNNNNNNNNNNNNNNNNNNAAGAUAAUCUUAUCUUAAAUCUUCCACGUAAUUAGAGGUAGCAAUAAAAUACCUACUUUUUUUA